rnacentral:lncRNA from 1 species
UACCCAAUAAAGGAAGUUGUAAUCCCUAUUUUCUCCAGAGGGUUAAUCCUUGAUAUGUUCAUCCUAACCGAUGACGGGUUUCCUCCUCUUUUUGGUCUUCUGCCCAAUAGCCGGUACUUGUAAAUCCUAUUUCCCCUUUUGCGGAGUCUAUCCUUGAUAUGUUCAUCCUAACCGGUGACAAAUAUUCUCUCUUUUGGUAUUCUAUCCAAUAACCGAUAGAUAUAAU